rnacentral:rRNA from 1 species
UUAUUGGAGAGUUUGAUCCUGGCUCAGGACGAACGCUGGCGGCGUGCCUAAUACAUGCAAGUCGAGCGGACUGAUGGUUUCCUUCGGGAAACCGUUGGUUAGCGGCGGACGGGUGAGUAACACGUAGGCAACCUGCCCUCAAGACUGGGAUAACUACCGGAAACGGUAGCUAAUACCGGAUAAUUAAAUCUGC